rnacentral:rRNA from 1 species
CGGAGCGACGCCGCGUGGUGGAUGAAGGCCCUCGGGUUGUAAACACCUGUCGUAGGGGAGGAAAUUUUGACCGAUCCUAGGAGGAAGCACAGGCUAAGUUCGUGCCAGCAGCCGCGGUAAUACGAACUGUGCAAACGUUAUUCGGAAUCACUGGGCUUAAAGGGUGCGUAGGCGGAUUUGUAGGUCAGAUGUGAAAUCCCACGGCUCAACCGUGGAACUGCGUUUGAAACCACAAGUCUUGAGGGGAUCAGAGGAGAGCGGAACUGAUGGUGGAGCGGUGAAAUGCGUUGAUAUCAUCAGGAACACCGGUGGCGAAAGCGGCUCUCUGGGAUCUUUCUGACGCUGAGGCACGAAAGCUAGGGGAGCGAACGGGAUUAGAUACCCCGGUAGUCCUAGCUGUAAACGAUCUGUACUAGUCCGUGGGGGCUCCCACACCUUCUCGGACGUAGCGAAAGUGUUAAGUACAGCGCCUGGGGAGUAUGGUCGCAAGGCUGAAACUCAAAGGAAUUGACGGGCCCCUUCACACAAAAAG